UUUAUGCUUAGAGGACUGUUCCUCACCUUUGCUCCAGAUCUAAACUGUUCUCCACCAUGUCUGUAAUCAUCUGACACUCAAUCUUGGGCUGUUUGCCUUUUGUUGUUGGUUCUAAUCCGUCUCUUUGAUCAUUGAAUCUUCCUUUUCUGAAAUUAGCUUGUUUGUAACAAAGUAAACCUUAUCAGUCUUGUGUUCCAGUCCAAGCACAAACACUGGUUUUCUCCCUAACUCCUUUUCAUCUGUGGUAAUAGCUUUAGUGUUGUUGAUGAUUAUCUGAGCUGCUGUCCAAUCAGAGAACAACGCUAAGUAACCUUUGAUCAGUUUGGACUCUGGAUAUUCAGCUGCAGACAAACACAUGGUCCUCCCUCUCCGCACUGUGUGAUACAUGAUGAAGCUUCCUCUACAUGCUCCUUUUUUCCUGUUCCCCUCAGUCCUGUUGGUCGGGAUCUUCUUCCCUCUGACUGAUGGCGGACACAUCCUUGCCUUUCCAGGUGAGUACAGCCACUGGCUGAACAUGCGGACCAUCAUAGAAGAGCUUGUCAGAAGAAACCACAAGGUCACCAUCCUGGUGCCGGAUGCAUCACCAUCUGUCAACUACAACAGUAGCCAAGAUGCUGCCAAGUUCAACUUCCUGGUGUUCAAGGUUCCGUUCAGCAGAUCAGACAUGGAUGGCAUAAUGCAAGAUUUUAUACAGUUCUCCAUGUACCAGGCCUAUAACUCUUCCAUGCUGCAUCGGUUUCUGGUGCCACUGACAAUCUUGGGGAGGUAUUCCCAAAUAAGCAUGCAGCAAUGUGACGCUAUGUUGAAGAACCAGGAGCUGAUGGCUACCCUACGGGACUCAACCUUCAAUGUAGUCCUCCUGGAUCCCAUGGUGGUUUGUGGAAACCUUGUGGCCGAAAUGCUUGGCGUGCCACUAAUCCUUUCACUGCGUUUCUCGUUUGGCAGCACCUUGGAGCGUCACUGUGGUCAGGCAUCGAUGCCGGCGUCCUUCGUCCCGGCCUCUCCGCUGCCGUACAGUGACCGCAUGACGUUCCAGGAACGGCUGAUCAACAUGUUAAUGUACAUGGGAACGUCUGUGCUGAGUGAACUGCACUGGAGAAAGACGCUCGAUUCACUUUACACUGAGAUCAAAGGAAGUCCAAGCAGCUUCUGUAGCUCCCUGGGUAGGGCGGAUAUUUGGCUGAUCAGAACCUUCUGGGACAUCGAGACACCGCGGCCAAUACCGCCAAACUUUUUCUACGUGGGCGGUCUUCACUGCAAACCAGCCAAUCAGCUGCCAGAGGACAUAGAGGCAUUCGUGCAGAGCUCUGGGGACGCUGGUGUGGUGGUUGUCACCUUUGGGUCCAUGGUGACCAGUCUGACAGACGACAGAGCUGAUGUAAUCGCCACUGCUUUGGGACGAAUACCACAGAAGGUAAUUUGGCGUUAUCGUGGCAAAACCCCAGGGACCCUGGCAUCAAAUACAAAAAUGUUUGAUUGGAUACCACAGAAUGACUUACUUGGCCACCCCCUGACCCGAGCCUUCGUGACGCAUGGCGGCACCAACGGUUUAUAUGAAGCUUUGUUUCACGGGGUUCCGGUGGUUGGUAUCCCACUGUUUGGUGAUCAGCCAGAUAACCUGGCCCGUCUAAGCCACCGUGGGGCCGCCAUCGUCCUCCACUUUAACCUCAUGACAGCGGAUGAGCUGGCGGGGGCGCUGCAUGCUGUCAUUAACGAGCCCAGCUUUAGGUCAAACAUGCAGACCCUGUCCUCACUGCACCGCCAGCGGCCAGUGACACCGCUAACCACAGCCACCUUCUGGGUGGAGUUUGUGAUGCGGCAUGGAGGAGCUGGACACCUGAGGCUGGCGUCAAAUGACCUGUCCUGGUUCCAGUACUACAGUUUGGACACAGGAGCAGCUCUGCUUCUCACCUUGGCAGCAGGUUCCACCAUCGGCUGGGCAGCGCUUCGCUGCUUCCUGCGGCACUGCAGACGGCGAGCGCAAAGAGAGAAGAGUGACUGACCAGUUCAGAUGCUGAACUGUAAUAAUAAUAAGGGUUGCACCUUGGAACCCAAAUGCCAGAGCUAUCCCACCUGAAAGUGUCAAAAAUUAUGCGCCAGCCAGACUUCAUGGAGAGAAUGGGGGAUAGAGUCCUGACACAGGAAGAGAUGUUACUUGGCCCAAAGCUGUGACUCCUGUAGUUGAUCUUAAUCCAGUACAGGAAAAUACAUAUUAACAAAUAUUAAUUAUACAUUAUAAUGUACUGUAAGCACUGUCUUCUUGUAUAGGAACAUCAUUAACAUAAUUUGCUUUUAUUCCCAAGGUUUGGAUAAGGGGAAGCAUAUCAUCAACAUCAUUAACAACCCUCCCUCUGGGCAACCAGAGAGAUGCAUUAAACACCAAAGUGCCACACUGUUCCCACAAAAACAUAAAUUUGAUGUAAAGACUCUCAAAGUUGGCUCAUUUGUGGAGAUAGCACCCUUCAACCCGACCCUUGUGAAUGACAGUGACAGGCAACCAGUGAAAAUCACAACCAUAUGGGCUACAAUCUCUGAUAUUCCACUGGUCCUGUUUGAGGGUACCACGUUCUUGCUGCAACGCACAGAAGACCCACUGACAGGCUUCUAACAGUAUCAAGAUGGCUGGAAAAAAUAAUUUUUCCAGCAAUCACUGACAGCCUGCUGUUCCUCCACCACAAAUGCUUCUGGGAGCCAAUUGAAAACCUCGGGAUCGGGACAAAGUCUGCAGCCACCAAUGGACAAUAUUGUCAAUUAGUUAAAAAAACAUCUAUGGGAGCCACCCCGGUGGAAACCUUAUGUGGUUACCGUGGAGAUGCCUAGAAAAGCGUGCUACAUUAUCAUUUCAGUCUUCUUCUCUGGCAGCCCGCCAACUGGAAAGACACAAACAGUUGUCCCUCACGCUGGGUUUCCCCCACGUGGCACGUGAUCUGACGAAUCAUCUUUUCCCCUGUAUUUCCAAUCAGCCAGGUCUUGACUUUAAAAUUAAUCUUUGAUCCCGCUGGAAGCCGUUAUCUUCGAGGAAUCGCUGGACUCCGCUCGUUUUGUUUUGGUCAAACAGAUCGUCGGAGAAGCGCCCAGAAAACAUGGUGUUUUCUGCUCCUCAUGGCGAGGUGAUCCGAACCUGCCCGAGCUUCUGCCUUGGAGCCACAGAUAGCACCAUGCCAGCACCUUCCCACUGAAGCGACACCAAGUAAAAGGCUCUUCUCUUUUUAUUUCCUUUUUUUCCCCACAUAUUCUGGCUGCAGUGCUGCUCUCUGAUGAAGAAAAGAUCAA